rnacentral:rRNA from 1 species
CCAGACUCCUACGGGAGGCAGCAGUGAGGAAUAUUGGUCAAUGGGCGAGAGCCUGAACCAGCCAAGUCGCGUGAGGGACGACGGCCCUACGGGUUGUAAACCUCUUUUGCCGGGGGACAAACGGCGGCACGCGUGCCGUCCUGAGGGUACCCGGAGAAAAAGCAUCGGCUAACUCCGUGCCAGCAGCCGCGGUAAUACGGAGGAUGCGAGCGUUAUCCGGAUUUAUUGGGUUUAAAGGGUGCGUAGGCGGGAUGCAAAGUCAGCGGUAAAAUGCGGGGGCUCAACCUGCGUCCGCCGUUGAAACUGGCAGUCUCGAGUUGGAGAGAAGUAUGCGGAAUGCGCGGUGUAGCGGCGAAAUGCAUAGAUAUCGUGCAGAACUCCGAUUGCGAAGGCAGCAUGCCGGCUCCACACUGACGCUGAGGCACGAAAGCGUGGGUAUCGAACAGGAUUAGAUACCCGAGUA